UGAGUAACACGUUGGAACCUGCCCCAAAGUGAGGAAUAAGCCACCGAAAGGUGGUCUAAUACUUCAUAAUAUCCAUCUCGUAUGGAUUAAAGCUUUAUGCGCUUUGGGAGGGGCCUGCGUAACAUUAGCUUGUUGGUGAGGUAAAAAGCUCACCAAGGCUUCGAUGUUUAACUGGUUUGAGAGGAUGACCAGUCACACUGGGACUGAGAUACGGCCCAGACUCCUACGGGAGGCAGCAGUAAGGAAUCUUCCACAAUGGGGGCAACCCUGAUGGAGCAAUACCGCGUGCAGGAUGAAGCGUUUCGGCGUGUAAACUGCUUUUAUCACCGAAGAUUAUGACUGUAGGUGAAGAAUAAGGACCGGCUAACUACGUG
rnacentral:rRNA from 1 species